AGGAAUCUGCCUGGUAGUGGGGGACAACGUUUCGAAAGGAACGCUAAUACCGCAUACGUCCUACGGGAGAAAGCAGGGGACCUUCGGGCCUUGCGCUAUCAGAUGAGCCUAGGUCGGAUUAGCUAGUUGGUGAGGUAAUGGCUCACCAAGGCGACGAUCCGUAACUGGUCUGAGAGGAUGAUCAGUCACACUGGAACUGAGACACGGUCCAGACUCCUACGGGAGGCAGCAGUGGGGAAUAUUGGACAAUGGGCGAAAGCCUGAUCCAGCCAUGCCGCGUGUGUGAAGAAGGUCUUCGGAUUGUAAAGCACUUUAAGUUGGGAGGAAGGGCAGUAAAUUAAUACUUUGCUGUUUUGACGUUACCGACAGAAUAAGCACCGGCUAACUCUGUGCCAGCAGCCGCGGUAAUACAGAGGGUGCAAGCGUUAAUCGGAAUUACUGGGCGUAAAGCGCGCGUAGGUGGUUUGUUAAGUUGGAUGUGAAAGCCCCGGGCUCAACCUGGGAACUGCAUUCAAAACUGACAAGCUAGAGUAUGGUAGAGGGUGGUGGAAUUUCCUGUGUAGCGGUGAAAUGCGUAGAUAUAGGAAGGAACACCAGUGGCGAAGGCGACCACCUGGACUGAUACUGACACUGAGGUGCGAAAGCGUGGGGAGCAAACAGGA
rnacentral:rRNA from 1 species